GUUAACUUCAACUUGCUCUCCUGCAAAAACUACUUAUCAAAUGUAUUGAGCACGGCUGCCUCAUACUUUAUGUUGCUCCGAAGUUUUGGCUCUGAUGAAACUACUAUUAAAUUAUAAUUGAAUGAAACCGUAAUGUGUAAUUAAGAAAUAUAAUACUGAAAAAAAUAAAAAAAAAAUACAACAUUUGAUAACUGUGUGUAAAAACUCCGACAAUAAUAUGCUGCAUCACCGGGCUGAUUCUUAUUCCAAC